CAGCCGCCGCGGUAAUACGUAGGUAGCAAGCGUUGUCCGGAAUUAUUGGGCGUAAAGCGCGCGCAGGCGGUUCCUUAAGUCUGAUGUGAAAUCUUGCGGCUCAACCGUGAGCGGUCAUUGGAAACUGGGGAACUUGAGUGCAGGAGAGAAGAGCGGAAUUCCACGUGUAGCGGUGAAAUGCGUAGAGAUGUGGAGGAACACCAGUGGCGAAGGCGGCUCUUUGGCCUGUAACUGACGCUGAGGCGCGAAAGCGUGGGGAGCAAACAGGAUUAGAUACCCUGGUAGUCCACGCCGUAAACGAUGAGUGCUAGGUGUUAGAGGGUUUCCGCCCUUUAGUGCUGCAGCUAACGCAUUAAGCACUCCGCCUGGGGAGUACGGCCGCAAGGCUGAAACUUAAAGGAAUUGGCGGG
rnacentral:rRNA from 1 species